GAAUAUUAGUCAAUGCUCGAAAGAGUGAACUAGCUAACUGAAAUCAAUUAAAAAAAUUGAUAACAUAAGGGAAAAUAAUGAUAUUACCUUAUUAUUAGUGUCGUCCAAAACUGGUGCCAGAAGACUCGGUAAGGCCAGAGACACAAACGUUAAUCGUCUUAAUCAGGCGUAAAGGGUUUGUAGGCGGCUUUAAAUUGAUUUAUAAAAAAAAAAUAAGUUAAGAAUAAAAGCUAGAAUCAAAUAGAGGAUAUAUCAAAUAAUGCUUAGAGUAGGUCUGAUAUCCUUAGAUACUAAGUAGAAUAUUAAAGGCGAAAGCUUUUUUCCAUUAAUGAUUGACGCUCAGAAACGAAGGUGAGGAUAGGAAAUAGGAUUAGAUACCCAAAAUACCCCUCUCUGUCAACGAUGAAUGGUAGUUAUUAGUAAUAAAUUUAUUAAUGACAAUGUUAACACGAUAACCAUUCCGCCUUGUGAGUACAACUGCA
rnacentral:rRNA from 1 species